UACGGAGGGUGCAAGCGUUAUCCGGAUUCACUGGGUUUAAAGGGUGCGUAGGCGGGCAGGUAAGUCCGUGGUGAAAUCUCUGAGCUUAACUCAGAAACUGCCAUGGAUACUAUUUGUCUUGAAUAUUGUGGAGGCAAGCGGAAUAUGUCAUGUAGCGGUGAAAUGCUUAGAUAUGACAUAGAACACCCAUUGGGAAGGCAGCUUGCUACACAAUGAUUGACGCUGAGGCACGAAAGCGUGGGGAUCAAACAGG
rnacentral:rRNA from 1 species